rnacentral:tRNA from 1 species
GUCUCCGUCGUUUAACCGGUAAAGACACAGGACUUUCAAUCCUGUAAUGUGGGUUCAAGUCCCGCCGGAGAUACCA